UUGAUCUGACAAAUAACAAGGACCAGGAACACCGGGUCGAGCUACAAAGAUUCCAUGGAGACAAAGCAUACGACCAGUACUCCACUUUUUAUGUCCUGGAUGAAAAGAGUAAAUACAGACUCACUGUGUCCGGGUAUUCAGGAACCGCAGGUGACAGUUUAAAGUAUCACAAUGGUAGUAAAUUCAGCACUAAGGAUCAGGAUAACGACAGGAGUAGUGUUAACUGUGCUAUCUACUAUCAAGGGGACUGGUGGUUCAACAGCUGUUCUCAUUCAAACCUUAACGGACAGAACGCCAAGUCUGCCGUGUCUUAUACUAAGUGCAUUGUAUGGCAGAGCUGGAAGGGUAAUGAAGCUCUAAAAAGGACUGUGAUGAUGAUCAGGCACAAAAACUAAAGAAUUUGAUAAUGCAUGAUAAGUCCUGAGAAGAAUGCAUCGGCAUCGGUCGUACAAUAAACCUGCAAUACACGA